GAACCGGACGGUGAGAUCGCACAUGGCGGCGUCCUGUCUUCACAUGUAAACAGAAAGAGCAGCAGAGUGUAAAAGAAGUUACAUUAAAUUUCAUCUACAACUAGAACUGCACUUCCCCCCUCUUUUUUUCAUCUGCGUUUCACUCGAAACAGAUUGAUUUCACGGUGGAGUAUUUUUUGGACUUUCAUGAGCUUUCAUUGACCGGCACUACUACCAGCAGCACAACAUGGAAACCAACGUCGCCUGAAGGAAAAAAACAAGAUUCAUCCACAGCGACAGAGGACUUGAAGACAACAACAAUCGGGAUGACCCAGACAAUGCGCUCUCUGAAGCGUCAGCUGAACAAGGCCGAGGAAGAGGCGAGUAGGAGAGAGGCACAAUACCACCACACUCAGAGCUGGCUGGCUGAGGAGAGGGAGACGAAUGGAUUUCCUCAGAGGCAGCUUCUCGACCAACACCUACAGACACAGCGUAAGGAAACUGACAAUCCGUCAGACCCUGGAUAACCUGAGGUUGGACCUGAGUGUUAAGGAUGAAGCUGAUCAUCAGCUGGUAGAGCCGCAAAAAAACAAUGUCACAAAAGUCUGAACCCUCACACUCCACACACUCUCUUAUUACAGAACAUAACAGGCUGCAUCUUUACACUAAGGUGACAUUUUCUAAACCUGCCAAAAACACCUUUUAAUACACUACAGCAUACUGCACUUAUAGCGGUGCAGAGAGAAGCUAACUUUCAGUGUGACAUGGAUAUGCCUUUCAAUGAUAAAGACAAAUGCCUCUUUUGACCUGGUUUCUGUUUUUCUGUCACAUAGAAUAUUAAGAAGAAUGUUUGCUUGGUGCAGAGAGACGGAUGACGGGAAAACUUAACAGUGACAAAAAAAAGAGAUCAUUUAUAGU